UUAUAACUUUGUAUUCAAGUAUCAUCUCGUCCAAAUGAGAUGGUCUAGAAUUAAAAACGCUCGUAAACACUGAACAUCAAUCAUUUACGCUAGACCCAAAUAGUUAACAAAAAGCAUGGAAUUCAUGGACAGUGACAGGAUUAAUCCAUGAUGAAGAAACAUUGGCAGUCCAAGUCAGAAUAAGCAAUAAGCAUACAAUUUCAUCAUAAGCCAACAAGAAAAAACCUUCAGCUGAAAGUGCAAAGAUAAGCUAAUGAAAUCAGAAAUUAUAACAUUUAAUUAAAAACUACACCGACCAUCAAAAAGGUCCUUCUCAUCUUACAGAAGCAAACAUAGAAUUCUUAUUCAACAUAAAAUUGGCCUACAAAUGUACAACACGUGGUUCUUUCUUAGCCAUAUCAUAGCAUCAUUGAUUGUGUUUGUGUUUGAAAAUUGAAUUCAAUUGACAAAUUAUAUUAUGCACAUUAUAUAUUUGAAAAAUGAGAACAAAAAAUGCAAUGAAAUUGGCUAAGUGGGCGGCAAUAGCAGCAUACAUACAUGUCAAUUCCGAAUGCCU
rnacentral:lncRNA from 1 species